rnacentral:rRNA from 1 species
CCCCUAGAUGUCCGGGGCUGCACGCGCGCUACACUGAAGGAAUCAGCGUGCUAAAACCAUUGUCGAAAGGCAUUGGUAAACCCAUUAAAAUCCUACGUGAUUGGGAUCGGGAAUUGCAAUUAUUUCCCUUGAACGAGGAAUUCCCAGUAAGUGUGGGUCAUAAGCUCGCGUUGAUUACGUCCCUGCCCUUUGUACACACCGCCCGUCGCUGCCCGGGACUGAGCCGUUUCGAGAAAAGCGGGGACUGCUGCUGUCGGGGCUUUCGGGCCUUGGCUUCGGUGGAAACCGCUUUAAUCGCAGUGGCUUGAACCGGGCAAAAGUCGUAACA